rnacentral:tRNA from 1 species
GCCCGGGUGGCGGAAUUGGUAGACGCGCACGGUUCAGGUCCGUGUGUCUUAACAGACGUGCUGGUUCGAUUCCAGUCUCGGGCA